AACGACUCUCGGCAACGGAUAUCUCGGCUCUCGCAUCGAUGAAGAACGUAGCGAAAUGCGAUACUUGGUGUGAAUUGCAGAAUCCCGUGAACCAUCGAGUCUUUGAACGCAAGUUGCGCCCGAAGCCAUUCGGCCGAGGGCACGCCUGCCUGGGCGUCACGC
rnacentral:rRNA from 1 species